rnacentral:precursor_RNA from 14 species
CUGCUACGCUUACAUUGUUCAUUGAGUUGAUAAGUUUUUCCACUAUAUCUGUGUUGACAUUAAAUCCACAGAUAGUGGUAAGACUUGACCAACUUGUGUUCCAAUACCAUCAAAGACAG